CAGGGCCUCCUGCAGCUCCAGCAAGAGGUACCUGAGCAAUGCCAGUAUCUUUCCCUUCAGAGUCAUGGAAACCAAGUUUUCCCACAGAGCAACACUUGACCCAAAACUCACUUUUUUUUCAUGCUGUGGCUGUUUCACAUCCUUUGGCCCAAUCCUCCUGAACUCAUCACAGUCAUAGAGGGUCAAGUUCAUACGUUUGUCAAAAGUCUUGAACGUACCGAUGAAGGUCCGGCCAUCUCAGGAUAUAUUCUAUCCUAUGGUCAGUGUGCGGCAGCAUCUUGCUGCUCCUUCCCACAGUCAUGAUUGCUGUUCCACCAGCUCCAAUGCCCAUAGCAAAGAUUUGGGAUCCUUAAGACCUAAGAGAAGGUAGUUUUAUUUGAUUGUGUCUUUUGGAAUCAGCCACCCAGGUGUUCCAAUACUGCUUUAACCAUUGCUUGGUGUCUCAGCUAAGAAUGCUUGUUUCAGUUCUGCCUGGAAAUCAACCACAGGUACUUGUUGCUGCUGCUGCUGAGAUUACCUCAGGUACAGGUGACACUCCAGGUUGCUCAGCGAGGCUGUCCUUCUGUGUUUGACUUGGACUUCCACCUCCAGUACUUGCUUUUCCAUAGUCCGUCUCAGGUGUGAAUGGUCCAUGGCUUGCACCAUCACACCACUGGCUGCUCCUCAGAACAGAACAUCUCUGGCUGCUACUCCCCUCUGCCUGGGCAUCCUUAUCUUGUUCUUGAUCUUAGGAGGAAAGCUUUUAGUCUUUUAGCCUUAAGUAUGGUGUUAGCUGGGCCUUCCCAGGUGGCACUAGAGUCAUGAGAUGCAGGUUUGAGCCCUGGGUCAGGAAGAUUCCCUGGAGGAAGGCAUGGCAACCCACUCCAGUAUUCUUGCCUGGAGAAUCCCACAAACAGAGGAGCCUGGUGGGCUACAGAUCAUCUGGUCACAUAGAGGCGGACAUGAAGCAACAUAGCAUGCACACAUGCAUGAUGUUAGCUGUGGGUUUUCCAUAAAUGUCCUUUAUAAAGUUGAGGUCAAGUCCUAUUCUUAUUCCUCUCCUGUACUUAUUUCUAUUCUUCUAUUACUUUUUUUUGAGUGCUUUUAUCAUGGGGUGGGCUUCCCUGGUAGCUCAGUGGAUAAAGCAUCUGCCUCCAGUGUGGGAGACCUGGGUUCGAUCCCUGGGUUAGGAAGAUCCCCUGGAGAAGGAAAUGGAAACCCACUCCAGUACUCUUGCCUGGAAAAUCCCAUGGACUGAGAAGCCUGGUAGGCUACAAUCCGUGGGGUUGCAAAGAGUCGG
ensembl:lncRNA